GACAGAGGAUGCAAGCGUUAUCCGGAAUGAUUGGGCGUAAAGCGUCUGUAGGUGGCUUUUCAAGUCCGCCGUCAAAUCCCAGGGCUCAACCCUGGACAGGCGGUGGAAACUACCAAGCUGGAGUACGGUAGGGGCAGAGGGAAUUUCCGGUGGAGCGGUGAAAUGCGUAGAUAUGCGGAGGAACACCGAUGGCGAAGGCAAUCCCCUGGGCCUGUACUGACGCUCAUGCACGAAAGCGUGGGGAGCAAACAGG
rnacentral:rRNA from 1 species